UGAGAUGAUGCCACAGAGUUGUGGUUAAACUCUAGGUUGUUAUUUAGAUUCAUGCAAGAGUCAAUCCACUAUCAUAGUGCAUUCUAUGGCUUCAGUUGAUUGAGCUAAAUGCUGCAUGGAAAGUUUCUCAGGAUGGGUAGUGAGUAGGAGAGCAGAUAAAAACUGAAUGUCUAUAGUACAAGGAAUUUGUUACAGGGCUUGGCUGCAGACUGCCUAUUGUCUAUCAAAUUAACGAGCCAUCUCUACUGAUGCCCGGUGUCUCCUGGCAAUGAGAAGGACAGCAGUUCUUGCAGGCACCCUUGGAAGCUAACGAGCGCUUCUUUUGGAGUUCUUUCUGGUCACAGGAGCUGAUUUCAGAAUAUUAAAAGCCUAAACAUCAUAGAGGUCAUGGUGGAAGUCAGUGGACACAGUUCACACCAAACAUCUGCUGUGGAUUUCAAAUAGAGGAAUGGCUUGCAGAUGGAGGCACCCUGUCAUGCCAGUCCACUAAUUUAAUCGUGGAUGCUGAAAAUGCUGUCUGGAAGCUUCCAAGGAUGCACCAUACAACAUUUAAGUUGUGGUGUAAUGAUCAUUGAUAUGUUCGUUGUGUUCAGGAGUAAAUAAGGAAUGAAGUAAGAAUCUGAAAAAGAUUCUGUCUACUUAGAUGAGUUACUGCUCCUAAUUUGAGUACACAGAAGAAAGGAGGUUUUAAUAGAUCAUAACCCAGGAUACACGACACUUUGUUGGUGAGCCCUUCCAUGGCCUUUGCGUGGGUGUGUUGCUAGUCAUCAUUUUCUAUUCACCUAAGCAUACCUGCCCCAAGGCUGUUUGCUAUUCUUUUUCUCAUGACCAUCAACUGCUAGUGCCCGACACUGAGCAUCUAGAAAGGGUUUGAGAAAGGAAUUAGAACGAGGAGAGGGAAGGGAAAGAAAUAGGCGGGGGAUGUCAAUAUUAAAAUUUGAGACUGUGGUAAAGAAAAUAUUAUUAAAACGUCUUGGGGUAUUUUGAUAGGGUUGAAAAUAUCUAGGUCAAAUAAGGUUCCCAGACGUGUGUUUCCAUGUUGACAGCGAUGCAGCCAAAUGGGACUGACUCUUCCCGGCCUCCUCCUUAUUCCUCAGGUGCCACAUACGCAUCUGACUCGAGUCAAAACAGAAAGCUGGAUUCCUCCUCUAAAAAUGUGCUGGCAGGCGAUCUGGGUGACCUUUAAGAAUCAGUCAUUCCAAAUGGGCAUUCAAGCCCAGGGAGUGACCCUGGGCUGCUUCUCUUCCACAGAUGCUGGCAAGGGGGCAGAUGGCCUGUUACAAGAAGCACAAGGGUGUGUGUGUGUGUGUGUGUGUGUGUGUGUGUGUGUGUGUGUGUGUGUGUGUGUGUGUUUUCAAACUGCCUGCCCAAACCUUCCAGUAUUUUCCAUGGACUUACUGCAGAAAAUAACGCCAGCCUCCAGCUGAACAGGAUGUGAAAACUCUCCCUCUCAGACUGGAGACAGCCUCCCUCCCAGGCUGAAGCUCAGGCUGUUGGCCUCUUUUACUCGGCCCUGUGUGAUUUGCGUAAAUUGUGUUAGCAGCCAGAUAUCAAGAGCAAACACUGGCCUGUCUUCUUCCUGUGUCAGUGACUUACUCCUUUAUCCCGGGGAAGCUGGCACUGCACCACAGUGGGAGCUGGUCUCUUCCCCUUGCUAAUUGGCUCACUGUGGGUAAACACAGCUGAGCAUCUUCUGUCCUUACUCAGCCUUUUUUUUUUUUUUUUCUUUAACCAUUCCAAGAUUAGGGUCCAACUGCCCGUGCUUAGUGGUUCAUUGGAGACCACGGAGAAUAGGGUGGGAGCUGCAAAUAUGGAACCUCUGUGGACUUUUAGAGCUAGACAGAAAUUAUGAUUCUAGAAUAUUAUACAACUUCAGUAUUUCUGAAAACUCCUACAGGUGAAAUGUCAAGGUUUUUCUUUGGAAUAUUCAUGGAAAUAGCUCUUAUUUGAGUGAAAACACGAACAUGUACACACCCACACACUUGCACACAAGCAUGCACACUCACACUCUUUCCUACAGAAAUGUGGAUGGCUUAUUUGGAAAUGAAGAAGGAGGUCAGGAGGGGCUGUUGCUUUCUUUAUGAUACAGGUGUGUGUGUGUGUGUGUGUGUGUGUGAUUAAGGAUAUUGUGUUUUUGCCAUUUCACACUUGUAUACAACACACUAGGAUUCCAGUCACUUCCCACUACCAUCUAUCUUCCCUCUCCCACUCUAGUCCACUCCUUUCUCUUUCUUGCACUCCCUACUUUAAUGUCUCCAUGUUUGUGAUAAUUCUGGUGGAGAUAGGGUGAUGCCAAUCACUGGAAAGUGUAGUGUAUACAAUGAAGUAUGGGACAUAAUACUGUCUCAGAGCAAUAAACAUGUGCCAGCAUACACAUUUACCAUCUUUUAUAGUUAUUUUCAUCAUAAAACAGUCAGAAGACAGCAGUGUUAUCCAUUUUGUUUAUUACAUCUGAGUUGCAUUAAGAGGCCAGAUCCAGUGAUGAAUCUAAGUUUGUCUAAAUCCACACUUUGACAUUCACACUAGGAUAAAAUAGUCUAGUGACUCAUUUUCCUGAGGCUAUUAUCAUUGUUAAGUGACAAACAGGAAAUGUAAGUAACACACAGAAAUAUUGAAUCUUCUUAAACAUUAGAUUCUUGUCUACAAAACAACAGUGACUUUACCCCCCUUGCAGUACUGCUACCUAGUGUAGUGGGGACACCUUGAGAAGUUCCACCAUCUUGCUAUAAUUAUGCUAUGUUUUGUUGUUACAAUCUUUACUAUUAUCUCCAGUCAUCCACCUAGACUUUGACACUAUAUACUUUUUACAUUUGGCAUUUUGAGUGUACCUUUGUAGCUUAGGGAAGAGCCCUAACUCUAAAGCUGUCCUCAUUUGUAUCCAUAAGUGCCACAGGUUGUAUGUCAUUAUCUGCUAUCACACAUAGUUUCUCUUGAAGAUUGUUUUGAGGUGAGUCUAAAUUUGGGGGGGGGGCAGACUUCGAGUUUCUUCCCCUCACUCUGCUGUUUCCUAUCUCCCAACUAUGCAGAGCACAGAAAAGAGUGACAGGGACUGAGAGCAUGGAAAGGAAAUUGGAAAGUGAUGCCAAAAAGCAGAUGAGUGUAGGGGAACAAUAGAUGUGUGAAACCCUUCAUGUCACCACCAAAGAGGCAUGGAAGAUCAUGACAUGAAGAAGCAGCCUUAUGUAUCUGGAUGCCUGUGGUCCCACUGCUCUACUUCCUGUAACUAUUCUGAAGGCAGGAGCACACCUCAGAAGUUCAUACUAUGUAAAUAACUCUAUGUAUGCCAAAUUAAACUUUUAUCAAUCCUCUCUUUAUUUUAGAAUGUUUAUUAAAAACACACAAGAAAACUGAC
rnacentral:lncRNA from 1 species